AGAAUCAACGCUGGCGGCGUGCCUAACACAUGCAAGUCGAACGCGAAAGCCCCGCAAGGGGCCGGUAGAGUGGCAAACGGGUGAGUAACACGUGGGUGAUCUGCCUCAGAGUGGGGGAUAACGACCCGAAAGGGUCGCUAAUACCGCAUAACAUCCUGCCUUUGGAUAGGUGGAGAUCAAAGCCAGGGACCGCAAGGCCUGGCGCUUGGAGAGGAGCCCGCGGCCGAUUAGCUAGUUGGUGAGGUAAUGGCUCACCAAGGCAACGAUCGGUA
rnacentral:rRNA from 1 species